rnacentral:rRNA from 1 species
AGAGUUUGAUUAUGGCUCAGAACGAACGCUGGCGGCGUGGAUAAGACAUGCAAGUCGAGCGGAAGUCUGUGGGUAGCAAUAUUUGCAGGCUUCAGCGGCGGAAGGGUGUGUAACACGUGGGUAAUUUACCAUAAAGACCGGAAUAACUUGCUGAAAGGCGAGCUAAUACUGGACGUGACUGCGGGGGGGCCUCUCCCUGUUGUCAAAGCUGGGGACCGCAAGGCCUGGCACUUUUUGAUAAGCCCGCGGCCUAUCAGCUAGUUGGCGGGGUAACGGCCCACCAAGGCUAAGACGGGUAGCUGGUCUGAGAGGACGACCAGCCACACUGGAACUGAGACACGGUCCAGACACCUACGGGUGGCAGCAGUCGAGAAUUUUUCACAAUGGGCGAAAGCCUGAUGGAGCAACGCCGCGUGGGGGAUGAAUGGCUUCGGUCCGUAAACCCCUGUCAUUCGGGAGCAAUGCCUGCGGAAUAACACUUCGCAGGUUGAUAGUACUGGAAGAGGAAGGGACGGCUAACUCUGUGCCAGCAGCCGCGGUAAUACAGAGGUCCCAAGCGUUGUUCGGAUUCACUGGGCGUAAAGGGUGCGUAGGUGGCCGGGUAAGUCUGAUGUGAAAUCUCGAAGCCCAACUUCGAAACUGCAUCGGAUACUAUCUGGCUUGAGGUCUGGAGGGGGGACUGGAAUUCUCGGUGUAGCAGUGAAAUGCGUAGAUAUCGAGAGGAACGCCAAUGGCGAAGGCUAGUCCCUGGACAGAUCCUGACACUGAGGCACGAAAGCUAGGGGAGCAAACAGGAUUAGAUACCCUGGUAGUCCUAGCUGUAAACGGUGCAUGUUUGCUGUGAGAGGAAUCGACCCCUUUCGUGGCGUAGCUAACGCGUUAAACGUGCCGCCUGGGGAGUACGGCCGCAAGGUUAAAACUCAAAGAAAUUGACGGGGGCCUGCACAAGCGGUGGAGUAUGUGGCUUAAUUCGAUGCAACGCGAAGAACCUUACCUGGCCUUGACAUGCAUAUAGUAGAAGCCUGAAAGGGUGACGAGGUAGCAAUACCAGUAUGCACAGGUGCUGCAUGGCUGUCGUCAGCUCGUGUCGUGAGAUGUUGGGUUAAGUCCCGCAACGAGCGCAACCCCUGUGUCCUGUUGCCACCGGCCUUCGGGCCGAGCACUCUGGACAGACUGCCUCGCUUAAACGAGGAGGAAGGUGGGGAUGACGUCAAGUCAGUAUGGCCCUUACGGCCAGGGCUGCACACGUACUACAAUGCCCGGCACAAUGGGAAGCAAUACGGCAACGUGGCGCAAAUCCCUUAAAACCGGGCUCAGUUCAGAUUGUCGUCUGCAACUCGACGACAUGAAGCUGGAAUCGCUAGUAACGGCGCAUCAGCUACGGCGCCGUGAAUACGUUCCCAGGCCUUGUACACACCGCCCGUCACAUCAUGAAAGCCGGUUAUACCCGAAGUCGCGUUUCAAACCGCGCCGAAGGUAUGGCUGGUGAUUGGGAUGAAGUCGUAACAAGGUAACCA